rnacentral:tRNA from 1 species
GAGGAUAUAGCUUAGUGGUAGAGGGCAUGCUUGGCAUGCACAAAGGCCUGGGUUCAAUCCCCAGUACCUGCA